rnacentral:rRNA from 1 species
AGAGCGAACGUUAGCGGCGCGCUUAACACAUGCAAGUCGAACGAGAAAGCACCUUCGGGUGUGAGUAGAGUGGCGGACGGGUGCGUAACACGUAGGUAAUCUGCCCUCGAGCUGGGGAUAACGUUUCGAAAGAGACGCUAAUACCCAAUAAGACCACGGACUGUCCGCAGUCAGUGGCAAAAGGAUGGGAGUCUUCGGACCCAUCCACUUGAGGAGGAGCCUGCGGCUCAUCAGCUAGUUGGUAAGGUAACGGCUUACCAAGGCUAAGACGGGUAGCUGGUCUGAGAGGAUGAUCAGCCACACUGGUACUGAAACACGGACCAGACUCCUACGGGAGGCAGCAGUGGGGAAUCUUGGUCAAUGGGCGCAAGCCUGAACCAGCGACGCCGCGUGAGUGAUGAAGGCCUUCGGGUUGUAAAGCUCUGUGGGGAGGGACGAAAGUGCAAGGGUCUAAUAGGCCUUUGUUUUGACGGUACCUCCUUAGCAAGCACCGGCGAACUCUGUGCCAGCAGCCGCGGUAAGACAGAGGGUGCAAACGUUGCUCGGAAUUACUGGGCGUAAAGCGCGUGUAGGCUGAUUUCCAAGUCAGAUGUGAAAGCCCUGGGCUCAACCCAGGAACUGCAUUUGAAACUGGGAGUCUUGAGUACUGGAGAGGAAAGCGGAAUUCCUGGUGUAGAGGUGAAAUUCGUAGAUAUCAGGAGGAACACCGGUGGCGAAGGCGGCUUUCUGGACAGUAACUGACGCUGAGACGCGAAAGCGUGGGGAGCAAACAGGAUUAGAUACCCUGGUAGUCCACGCCGUAAACGAUGAGUACUAGGUGGUGCGGGUAUUGACCCCUGCGCUGCCGAAGCUAACGCAUUAAGUACUCCGCCUGGGAAGUACGGUCGCAAGACUA